rnacentral:rRNA from 1 species
GGGGUCGAUUAGCCAUGCUAGUUGCACGAGUUCAUACUCGUGGCGAAAAGCUCAGUAACACGUGGCCAAACUACCCUACAGAGAACGAUAACCUCGGGAAACUGAGGCUAAUAGUUCAUACGGGAGUCAUGCUGGAAUGCCGACUCCCCGAAACGCUCAGGCGCUGUAGGAUGUGGCUGCGGCCGAUUAGGUAGACGGUGGGGUAACGGCCCACCGUGCCGAUAAUCGGUACGGGUUGUGAGAGCAAGAGCCCGGAGACGGAAUCUGAGACAAGAUUCCGGGCCCUACGGGGCGCAGCAGGCGCGAAACCUUUACACUGCACGCAAGUGCGAUAAGGGGACCCCAAGUGCGAGGGCAUAUAGUCCUCGCUUUUCUCGACUGUAAGGCGGUCGAGGAAUAAGAGCUGGGCAAGACCGGUGCCAGCCGCCGCGGUAAUACCGGCAGCUCAAGUGAUGACCGAUAUUAUUGGGCCUAAAGCGUCCGUAGCCGGCCACGAAGGUUCAUCGGGAAAUCCGCCAGCUCAACUGGCGGGCGUCCGGUGAAAACCACGUGGCUUGGGACCGGAAGGCUCGAGGGGUACGUCCGGGGUAGGAGUGAAAUCCCGUAAUCCUGGACGGACCACCGAUGGCGAAAGCACCUCGAGAAGACGGAUCCGACGGUGAGGGACGAAAGCUAGGGUCUCGAACCGGAUUAGAUACCCGGGUAGUCCUAGCUGUAAACGAUGCUCGCUAGGUGUGACACAGGCUACGAGCCUGUGUUGUGCCGUAGGGAAGCCGAGAAGCGAGCCGCCUGGGAAGUACGUCCGCAAGGAUGAAACUUAAAGGAAUUGGCGGGGGGAGCACUACACCGGAGGAGCCUGCGUUUAAUUGGACUCAACGCGACAUCUCACCAGCUC